CGAACCCAGUACCUACCAGCGUUUUGUCCGAUGGCUUAACCACGAUAUCACCGUGGCCGGUGAAGUUGUGUUAGUGUGUACCCAACAACCCAACGCUUUGAUCUGGUACCACUGAAGUAACGUCGAUGCGAUGAAGUGACUCACUUGACAGCUGUGAGGAGCAAUAUUCAUGACGAGUGCCACCGGUGGGGCAGGAUAUGCUCAACUUUCACGAACACCUGAUAUCAUCACUGUUUUGACAGUGAUUCAUGAGUGUGUGUCAUCACAGCUGUACUUAUUCCAUUGAGCUAGUUUUGAUUUAGUAAACUAGGGCUGUUGUUUUUUCGUUUUGAGAUAUUUUAUUCAUCAGAAAAGUCAAAAGGACUGCACAACAGGCAGAGCCUAUAUAAGUGCUCUCCUAAACAAGAUGGACAUCAGACAAUAAUCAAUAUUCAUAAUCAUAUAUAAUAAACUAGUCUGAGUGGCAGUCCUCAUUGUGACGGUCAAGAAGGAUGUAUUGUACAGUAACGGUUUCCCCGGGAGUUGCUGUCCUCCUGUAGACGAGACACUAGCUAGAGUUUCAUAGAAAUGAAAUGUCCAUUGCACUCUGCAUUGUGUAGAGAUACGGCCCUGAUCAUGUAUUACGGAUUUGUCGUUCAUAUUCAAUGCAGAAUGUUUCGUCUUCAUUUAAUUUAUUUUUCACGUAUAUAUCCAAUUAAAGUUCAAGCCUGUU